AGUUCGAUGCUGACUCCAGAUUGAACGCUGGCGGGAUGUUUCACAUACAGGUCGAACGGCAGCACGGACUUCGGUCUGGUGGCGAGUGGCGAACCGGGUGAGUAAUGUGUCGGAACGUGCCUAGUAGCAGGGAUAACUGCACGGCGUAGCUAAUGCCGCAUACGCCCUUCAAGGGGAAAGCAGGGGACCUUCGGGCCUCCACCUUUUUGUCGACAGCCGAUAUCGGAUUAGCUAGAUUGGUGGGGUAACGGCUCCACCAAGGCGACAAAUCCAUCGCUGGUUUAGAGAGGACGAUAUACCUAUUACACACUGGACUGGGGCAGCCCCAGGCUCCUACAGGAGGCAGCGGUGGGAAUUUUGGACAAUGGGGGGAAACCUGAUCCAGCCAUCCCGCGUGUGCGAUGAAGGCCUUCGGGUUGUAAGCACUUUUGGCGGGAAAGAAACAGCACAGGAUAUGCGUGCAACUGACGUACCUGCAGAAUAAGCGCCUCCGGCUAACCAUUCGCCGCGGUAAUGCGUGAGGGUGCCAGCGUUAAUCGGAAUUACUGGGCGUAAAGCGUGCGCAGGCGGUUCGGAAGAAGAUGUGAAAUCCCAGAGCUUAACACAGGAACUGCAUUUUAACUACCGAGCUGAAAUUGUCAAAGGAGAGGAGGUGGAAUUCCGCGUGUAUCGAUGAAAUGCGUGAAUAUGGAGGAACUACCGAUGGCGAAGGCGGCCUCCUGGGAUAACACUGACUCAUGCACAGCGUGAAGGCAAACAGGAUUAGAUACCCUGGUAGUCACGCCCUAAACGAUGUCAACUAGCUAUUUAUUGGGGCCUUCAGGCCUUGGUAGCGCAGCUAACGCGUAGAAGUUGACCGCCUGGGGAGUACAGUCGCAAGAUUAAAACUCAAAGAAUUGACCAGGAUACCACAAGCGGUGGAUGAUGUGGAUUAAUUCGAUGCAACGCGAAAAACCUUACCUGCCCUUGACAUAUCUGGAAUCCCGAAGAGAUUUGGGAGUGCUCGCAAGAGGAGCGGAACACAGGUGCUGCAUGGCUGUCGUCAAUGAUGUCGUGAGAUGUUGGGUUAAGUCCCGCAACAGGCGCAACCCUUGUCAUUAGUUGCUCGGCACUCUAAUGAGACUGUGAUGACAAACCGGAGGAAAGGUGGGGAUGACGUCAAGUCCUCAUGGCCCUUAUGGGUAGGGAUUCACACGUCAUACAAUGGUCGGGACAGAAGAUGCCAGCCCCGCGAGGAGCCAAUCCCCGACUUGAUCGUAGUCCGGAUCGCAGUCUGCAACUCGACUGCGUGAAGUCGGAAUCGCUAGUAAUCGCGGAUCAGCAUGUCGCGGUGAAUACGUUCCCGGGUCUUGUACACCGCCCGUCCACCAUAGGUGGGUUUUACCAAGUAGUUAAGCCUAACCGUAAGGAGGGCGAUUACAGUAGUUCAUGACUGGGGUGAAGUCAUAACAAGGUAG
rnacentral:rRNA from 1 species